UACGUAGGGUGCAAGCGUUGUCCGGAAUUAUUGGGCGUAAAGAGCUCGUAGGCGGUCUGUCGCGUCGGCUGUGAAAUCCCGAGGCUCAACCUCGGGUCUGCAGUCGAUACGGGCAAACUUGAGUGUUGCAGGGGAGACUGGAAUUACUGGUGUAGCGGUGAAAUGCGCAGAUAUCAGGAGGAACACCGGUGGCGAAGGCGGGUCUCUGGGCAACAACUGACGCUGAGGAGCGAAAGCGUGGGGGAGCGAACAGG
rnacentral:rRNA from 1 species